GAGGAUGUGACUCAGUGAUACAGUGCUUACUUAGUAAGUAGAAUGCCCUGGGUUCAAUUCCUAGUACUCCCC
rnacentral:tRNA from 1 species